AUCCCUGGAGAAAAGCCUCCUCUCAUCCUUUGCCUCUGUCCCAGUCGGCACCAAGGAAGCAGGAGCUUGGGAGUCUCAGCUCCUAAGGUUUGGUGUCUCCUACGGCUUUGCCAAGGGAGCGCCGUUCCCCACUCCUGCUGUUGCACGGGGUCUGGAGCUAGCCAGAGUGACCCCAGCAAGGUGAUUGGAGAGGAAGCACAGCAGAAACUCACUCAGUUCCAAGUUCUUCAGUCAGAACAAUAUGCACUUUGUUUAAUAAUCUAAAGCGGACAGUCUUUAACAUAAGAAACUACCUCCAGAACCAAAGGGACCAAGACUGAAGUGUUGCUAGUAUUGUCCAUCUCAUUUUUCAUUAAAGCUUCAAGUCAUUUGCCUAGAAAGAAGACUUGUCCUAACAUCAGUUAUAGAAGAUUUCUUUUCAUAUUUAGCAUCAUAUUGUA